rnacentral:lncRNA from 1 species
GAGAGAGAGAGAAAGGGCAGUUGGGUCCCUCAAGGAAGGCAGGACCCAGGGAAGAGCAGCCUCUCGACCUUGAUCCAUUCCAGGCUCCGAGACCUGGGCCUGCAGUGUUUCCAUGUGGCCACGCUGUUUGCUGAGCUCCUGUUGCCCACCGCGCUCCUGCUGGCAGGCAUCCUCCAGUGUCGUGACUGUAAUGAAGACCUCAGGAAGACCACCGGCCUGCAUAAUAGCCCCAUUACAUGGAAGGGCUCAGCCGACAGAUUACAACGCAGCGGGGAAGAGGAGGCCACUCAGAACUGUACCAACAAAGCCAGCACUUCCAAGUGGAAGGCGGAGGAGUCUGGAAGGCUGGGGAGGAAGGCGCCAGCAGGUGGGAGAUGCCGCUUUUCCCUGGAAGCCCUGUAUGAUGCUGCCCGGGGGCUCCUCUCCAGAGCUGCCAAGAAUUCUGGGCACCCAGGCAAACGGUUGAUUCAUUAAAACAAAAAAAAUAAUCCACCCAGAUUGUUGACCUGGUUCCCUGAUUCGACAUGGUCUCAGCACACUGUCUUCACAUUUUAUUUUGGGGGCAGGCUAAGUGUCCCAGGUGUGAGGGGGUUUGGGAUGUCAUGGCCCUGAGCCAUCUGCCUGCUUCCUCCUACCCAUGUUCAUUUCCAUGCCCGAUGGGGAGCCCAUUCACAUCAGUUGGACCUGCAGAUUCUGACAGCAGCUGGGCAGACAGCUGAUAUUUUAUUUUCAAUUAAAAUACAGUAUUUGAGUUACAAGCGACUGAGGUUCCCAGGGUCUGUUUUGCUUACCUGGGGAGCCACUGCUUACAAGGAAUUUGGGGCCAUGCUUAUUGAUUCUGCUUGUGGUUUGGACAGAAACAAGAAACAGAUGGGAGGGCAUUUAGCAUGGCCCCUGACAUAUUCUGAGCACUCAACACACGCUAGUGUCUUUCGUUUUGUCAAAGUACAUGCUUAAAUACCCCUUGGGCAGUUUGUUUUGUAUUCAUUCAUGCUCCAUGUCUCUGAGCAUUUGGUGUGGGGAUGGCGGUGAGCGGGGUGCUUUGUGUGCCAGGCAAGGUGCUGAGCACUGAAGUUCAGUUCAGUUCAGUCACUCAGUCAUGUCCAACUCUUUGCGAUCCCAUGAAUCACAGCACGCCAGGCCUCCCUGUCCAUCACCAACUCCCGGAGUUCACUCAGACUCACGUCCAUCGAGUCAGUGAUGCAAUCCAGCCAUCUCAUCCUUUGUUGUCCCCUUCUCCUCCUGCCCCCAGUCCCUCCCAGAAUCAGAGUCUUUUCCAAUGAGUCAACUCUUCGCAUCAGGUGGCCAAAGUACUGGAGCUUCAGCUUUAGCAUCAUUCAUUCCAAAGAAAUCCCAGGGCUGAUCUCCUUCAGAAUGGACUGGCUGGAUCUCCUUGCAGUCCAAGGGACUCUCAAGAGUCUUCUCCAACACCACAG